rnacentral:rRNA from 1 species
GGUCACUGCUAUUGGGGUUCGGCUAAGCCAUGCGAGCGGAGGGCGCGGUCGCAAGAUCGUGGCCCCGCACACGGCUCAGUAACACGUAGUCAACCUACCCUUGGGACGGGGACAACGCCGGGAAACUGGCGAUAAUCCCCGAUAGGUGAGGGAUGCUGGGAUGCUUCUUCGCUCAAAGCUCCGGCGCCCGAGGAUGGGACUGCGGCCUAUCAGGCUGUUGGUGGUGUGACGGACCACCAAACCUACGACGGGUACGGGCGAUGGGAGUCGGAGCCUGGAGAUGGGGACUGAGACAAGGCCCCAGGCCCUACGGGGCGCAGCAGGCGCGAAAACUCCGCAAUGCGCGCAAGCGUGACGGGGGAACCCCAAGUGCCGUUGGCUUUUGAUCGACGGCUUUUCGGAAGUCCAAUAAGCUUCCGGAAUAAGGGCUGGGUAAGACUGGUGCCAGCCGCCGCGGUAACACCAGCAGCCCAAGUGGUGGCCGCGAUAUUGGGCCUAAAGCGCUCGUAGCCGGAUCAGCAAGUCCUUUGUGAAAUCGGACCGCCCAACGGUUCGGCGUGCAAAGGAUACUGUUGGUCUUGAGACCGGGAGAGGUCGGAGGUACUCUUGGGGUAGCGGUGAAAUGCUGUAAUCCUGGGGGGACCACCAGUGGCGAAGGCGUCCGACCAGAACGGAUCUGACGGUGAGGGGCGAAGGCUAGGGGAGCGAACGGGAUUAGAUACCCCGGUAGUCCUAGCUGUAAAGCAUGCGGGCCAGGUGUCUAGCGCUCCUUGAGGGCGCUAUGUGCCGGAGGGAAGCCGUUAAGCCCGCCGCCUGGGAAGUACGGCCGCAAGGCUGAAACUUAAAGAAAUUGGCGGGGGAGCACCACAAGGGGUGGAACCUGCGGUUCA